ACGUAGAGUAGGAGGGUGAUAGGAGAAAUAAAUUUUGUAUUGGAAUUUGAACACUUAUAACAAUUGACAAUUUCAAUUAGGUCUUUUGUAGAGCUCUCCAAUCUUAUUUAUUUUAGUUUCAGAAUAUUAUUUUAGAGGAUGCAUACAGAGACAAGCAUUAGAUGCUGCUGGAAGGUCAUCAACUCAAUAAAAGACACAUUUUGCUCUGCUGGAAACUUGAUGGUCUUCCAGUGCAAGGAGAUGUCCACAUAUGAACAUAGCUGAUUGCGCAUUCUGUCAAGACCGAAGCUCAUUGCAGCCAUGGCAAAGGCUUGGGGGAUGAACAGCAAUCUAGUCUUGCUCCUACUGGAUGCUAAAUGGCUGUACCCAGUGCGGCAGUCUCUAAGAUACUUCACUGUGAAGGAAACAGUAAGGAGGAGUUCAAAGAUUUGCCAGGUCCAUCAUGGCACGAGCCUCCCCAGCAGUGAGGACAUCUUCAAACGGCAAUACCUCAAAAAGGCUCCAUCCACAAUUAAGGACCCCCAUCACCCAGGACAUGCCUUCUUCUCAUUGCUACCUUCAAGGAGGAGGUACAGGAGUCUGAAGGCACACUCAAUAUUUUAGGAACAGCUUCUGUCCCUCCAUCAGACUUUUAAGUUUUUAAGUGGACAAUGAACCUAUGUACACUACUUCACUUAUUUCAUUUUUUGCACUACUUAUUUAAUUAUAUAGUAUAUAUAAUAUACAGUGCCUAUAAAAAGUAUCCACCCCCCCCAGCUUGGAAAUUCUCAUGGUUUAUUGUUUUACAACCUUGAAUCACAGUGGAUUUAAUUUGGCUUUUCAUGUCAAAGUGAAAACACAUCUCUACAAAGUGAUCUAAAUUAAUUACUAAUAUAAAACACAAGAAAAUUGAUUGCAUAAGUAUUCACUCCCUUCAAAUCAGUAUUUACUAGACACACUUUGGCAGCAUUUACAGCCUUGAGUCUGUGUGGAUAGGCCUCUUUCAGCUUUGUACAUCUGGAUACUGCAAUUUUUCCCCAUUCUUCUUUACAAAACUGCUCAAGCUCUGUCAGAUUGCAAGGGGAUCAUGAGUGAACAGCCCUUUUCAAGUCCAGCCACAAAUUCUCAAUUGAAUUGAGAUCUGGACUCUGACUUGGCCACUCCAUGACAUUAACUUUGUUGUUUUUAAACCAUUCCUGUGUAGCUUUGGCUUUAUGCUUGGGGACUUGCUGGAAAACAAACCUUCUCCCAAGUCACAGUUCUUUUGCAGACUGCAUCACGUUUUCCUCCAGGAUUUCCCCAUAUUUUGCUGCAUUCAUUUUACCCUCUAACUUCACAAGUCUUCCAGGGCCUGGUGCAGUGAAGCAUCCCCACAGCAUGAUGCAGCCACCACCAUGCUUCACGGUAGGGAUGGUGUGUUUUUGAUGAUGUGCAGUAUUUGGCUUACACCAAACAUAGCAUUUAGUCUAGUGGCCAAAAAGCUCAAUUUUGGUUUCAUCAGACCACAGAACUUUCUUCCAGCUGAAUUUAGAGUCUCCCACAUACCUUCUGGCAAACUCUAGCUGAGAUUUCAUGUGAGUUUUUUUUUCCAACAGUGGCUUUCUCUUUGCUACUCUCCCAUAACUGGUGACUGGUGAAGCACCUGGGCAACAGUUGUUGUAUGUGCAGUCUCUCCCAUCUCAGCCCCUUGUGACUCCUCCAGAGUUCUCAUAGGUCUCUUAAUGGCCUCCCUCACUAGUCCCCUUCUUGCCAAUCACUCAGUUUUUGAGGACAGCCUGCUCUCAGCAGAUUUACAGCUGUGCUAUAUUCUUUCCAUUUCUUAUAACCAUAUAACAAUUACAGCAUGGAAACAGGCCAUCUCGGCCCUUCUAGUCCGUGCCGAACGCUUACUCUCACCACUGGCCCGCAUUCAGCCCAUAACCCUCCAUUCCUUUCCUAUCCAUAUACCUAUUCAAUUUUACUUUAAAUGACAAUACCGAACCUGCCUCAACCACUUCUACUGGAAGCUCAUUCCACACAGCUAUCACUCUCUGAGUAAAGAAAUUCCCCCUCAUGUUACCCUUAAACUUUUGCCCCCUAACUCUCAACUCCUGUCUUCUUGUUUGAAUCUCCCCUACUCUCAAUGGAAAAACCAUAUCCACGUCAACCCUAUCUAUCCCCCUCAUAAUUUUAAAUACCUCUAUUAAGUCCCCCCUCAACCUUCUACGCUCCAAAGAAUAAAGACCUAACUUGUUCAACCUUUCCCUGUAACUUAGGUGCUGAAACCCAGGUAACAUUCAAGUAAAACUUCUUGGUGGUUGACUUAAAUGUACUGCAAGGAAUAUUCAGUGACUUGGAAAUUUUCUUGUAACCAUCUCCUGACUUGUGUCUUUCAAUAACUUUUUUUUCGUGGAAUUGCUUGGAGCAUUCUUUUGUCUUUGUGGUGUAGUUUUUGCCAGCAGUUGGACCUUCCUGAUACAGGUGUAUUUUUUUCUAUAAUCAAUUGAAACACCUUGACUGCACAUGGUGAUCUCCAUUUAACUAAUUAUGUGACUUCUGAAACCAAAUGGCUGCUCUAGUGAUGAUUUGGUGUGUCACAUUAAAGAAUGUGAAUACUUAUGCGAUCAAUUAUUUUGUGUUUUAUAUUUGUAAUUAAUUUAGAGAGAUCUGUUUUCACUUUGACAUGAGCCUUUUUCUGUUGAUCAGUGUCAGAAAAGCCAUAUUAAAUCCACUGUGAUUCAAUGUUGUAAAACAACAAAACACAAAAACUUAUUGGGGGGGGGGUGCAUGGUGAAUACUUAUUCUAAGCGCUGUGGGUGUAUGUAUAUGUAGACACACCCAGCCCUAGGACACCAGGCAAGGCCAUUUGAUUCCAAACAAUUGGUUUAUUGAUCAUUACAGAAUGUCUCUUUGGUGCUUCCCGCUCUCUCUCUUUUCCCUUCCCCUUUUCCCAACUGCGAUUCCCCUCUCCCUGCCCCCUUCCUACUCUCAGUCCACAAUAGAGACAUCAUCACUCACAUCUGUCAUGGAAUUUGUUUUUUUUUACAGCAGCAGUACAGUGCAAAACAUAAAAUUACUACAGUACUGUGCAAAAGUCUUAGGCACCCUGGCUAUAUAUCAGGCAUCAUAGCCACUGAGCUGAAGGAACACGUGUGUAAAUUCCUGAGCCCUGCUCAGAGGGGGAUUGGUAAUGGAACCAGAGGCUCCAAACACCAACUACUGACAGACAGAGCAGUCAUGUGAGACUCCACGAUCAGGCAAACUAACAAAAGCUCAAUCUGGAUCGAGUGCCAGAAAACAUACAACUCAAUGCCCCACACAUGGAUCCUGGAAUGCCUGUCUCUGUACACGGUCAACAGGACACUAGGGACCUUCAUCAAGAACUCAAUGGGCCAUUGGAGGACAAUGCUAGAAGCUAACUCAAAGCCAGGAUGAUGCACUAUCCCCAUUGCUGAUCUGCAUGGGCAUAAUCAUCUGAAAGAGUGGAUGUGGCUACAGGUUCAGAAGUGGAGUGACCAUCUGCCACCUCUUGUACAUGGAUCACAUCAAGCUGCAUGCCAGAAAUGAGAGACAUUGAUUCACUAAUCCACCUGUUAAGGAUGUACAGCAGAGAUAUCGUGGUGUCAUUUGGACUGGAAAAGUGCAGCCAGAUGGUAUUGAAAAGAGGCAAACUCAUCAAGACUGAAGGAGUCGAGUUACUUGAGGGCCACAUACCAGUUGAACAGGACAGCUACAAAUAUCUGGGGAUCCUGCAGGUGCAUGGUCUCUAAGGAUGACCUGCGAGGGGAAUACCUCAGACAGCAGGCAGGGGACAUGGAAAUGGAAGAGGGUGAAGAAGACCAGAGGCCUUGGCAGGACAAGCCACUGCACGGGAUGUACCAUCGCCAGGUAUCAGAGGAGGCUGACAUAAGAAAGUCCUACCUAUGGCUGGAAAUGACAGGGCUGAGACAGCACAGAGACGCAGCUCAUGGCUGCACAGGAACAGGCAUGAAAACAAAAGAAGCAGGGGUCUAUCACAUCUGAGAAGGUAGUGGAGAAUGACAGAGCUCAGAUCCUGUGGGACCUCCAAAUACAGACUGAUAAGCAGGUACUAGCCAACCAACCGGACAAAGUAGUGUUGGACAAGGAACAGAAGAGAGCAAUUUUAAUAGAUGUGGCAGUCCCGAAUGACAGUAACAUCAGGAAGAAGCUGGAGAAAUACCAGGGUUUGAAAGAGCAGAUAGAAAGAUGUGGGAGGUUAAAGCCAGAGUAAUCCUGGUGGUGAGAGGAGCACAUGGAGCUGUGACACCCGGACUGGGAGAGUGGCUCCAACAAAUCCUGGGAACAACAUCUGAGAUCUCGGUCCAGAAGAGCGCACUACCAGGAACAGCAAGGACACUGUGCUGAAUGCUCAAACUCCCGGUAGAGGGGCCGAGAUUGAGGGAAAAUACACAUACACACCACCCAUAAGGGGUGAGACAAAAGAUUUUAUAUAUACACAUUGUAAUUUAUAGUUUUUCUAUUAUUAUGUAUUGCAUUAUUCUGCUGCAGCAAAACAACAAAUUUCACGACAUAUGCUAGUGGUAUUAAACAGAUUCUGAUUCAAAGGCAUAUAAAAUACCAUUAUGCAUGCCCUGUUAUUUUGUGUGUACAGAAGUGACUGCCUAUCUGAUGGUUCUGUUGCAGGAGAGCCAAUGAGCAUUUUGAUGGUAUCAAAAGUCAAAGUGAAUUUAUUAUCAAAGUAUGUAUAUGUUACCAUAUACUACCUUGAGAUUCAUUUUCUUGAUGUGUUACCCCUGUCUAUAAUUCUUAAUAAGUGCUCAAUUUCUGAGCACACAUUGGAUUUGGGAAUGCUUACAUUCUGUGUUACUAUAGGAUAGAGUGUCACUUUGUGAAUAUUACUGUACUUUUAUCCUGUCAUAUUGUCUCGUCCAGAACUGCUUAUUCUUUGAAUAUUCCUUCAUUAUUAAAAUGUUGCCAAUACACAACAAUAAAAAUAAACUGUUUUGGAAUUUGCUGCAACUUUUAAAGGAAACUGUUAUUUCAGUGAGAAAGGUUUCAUUGAGGUUUAGGUACAUAACUAACAGAUUUUCAUUGGGCAGUACCAUACGUUAUUUAAAAAAUGCUUUAUACACAACUGCAAUGCAGUUGUAUCAUCUUUCUGGCAAGAUGUUUAAAUCAAGUCUUCAUUUGUCCAGCCUGAGAGGCAGAAAAGACCUUAGAUGAGAUGAGAGGGCAUACAGGAGUGAGAUACAGUAUACCAGCUGGUUGAGUGGAGUCGCAGCAACUGCUUUGCAUUCAUCAUCAGUAAGACCAAAGAGCUGACUGUGGAUAUCAGAAAGGGUAAGACAGGUUAACACACAUUAGUCCUCAUAGAGGGAUCAGAAGUGGAAAGGGUGAGCAAUUUCAAGUUCCUAGGUAUCAAGAUCUCUAAGGAUCUAAUCUGGUCGCACCAUUUCGAUGCAGCAAUAAAGGAGGCAAGGCAGCAGCUAUACUUCAUUAGGAGUUUGAGGAGAUCUGGUUUGUCACCUAAAACACUGAAAAACUUCUUCAGAUGUACUGUGAAGAGCAUUCGAACAGGCUGCAUCAUUGUCUGAUUUGGGGGGGGAAAUCAAAAGAAGCUAGAGAAAGUUGUAAAAUUAGUCAGCUCUUUUUGGGUACUAGCUUCCGUAGUAUCCAAGACAUCUUUAAGCAGUAAGGGGAGAGCCCUUAACCCCUGGUGGAGUCAUCAGGGCGCCGUCAUGACAUGCUUUUUGCACUGAUCUUUUUGGCGAUUGCUCAUUGUACAGCGUGUCUAGCAUUUUUUUUACGAGGUCGAGUUGCUAGCUCAAUGUUCAACCCAGUACGGAUGGAAAGCGUGCACAGGAGAUCUUCAAGCAGUGGUACCUCAGAAAGGCGGUGUCCAUUAUUAAGGACCCCCAUCACCCAGGACAUGCCCUCAUCUCAUUGAUACCAUCAGGAAGGAAGUACAGAAGUCCAAAGACACACACUCAAUGACUCGGGAACAGCUUCUUCCACACUGCCAUCCGAUUCCUAAAUGAUAUUGAACCCAUGAAUUUAACAAUUUAGUAUAGAUAUAUAUACUUACUGUAAUUGAUUUACUGAUUUAUAUUGUUUUCUAUAUUAUGUAUUGCAUUGUACUGCUGCUGCUAAGUUCACAAAUUUCACAACAGAUGCUGAUUCUGAUUCUUUUUAAAGGGGAGCGAUGAACUAUUCCCAGAGGCCAACCUAAAAGAGAUAAUAUGCUUAGUUCCUCUCAGGAUAUCCUGGUUGUGGUAACCAAAGCAACAUGCACAAAAUGCUGGAGGAACUUAACAGGUCAGGCAGCAUCCAUGGAAAUGAUUAAACAGUUAACGUUUUGGGCUGAGACCCUUCAUCAGGACUCAAAUGUUGGAUGAUUGCUUUACGAAAUGCCCACAAUCAAUACUUUUUAUCAUGAAAUUUCCCCACCCUCUAUCCUAUUACCAAAUUUAUCUUUUGUUCUCCCCCACCUUUCUCUCUGAACCUCAAUUUAUUUUUCUCAAUUCCAACGAGAAAUCUUUAACUCGCAUUAAUUUUGUCACAGACGGUGCCUGAUUUGUUAAUUAUUUCAAGCAUUUUCUAGUUUAUUUUAAUUAUCGCUAAUUACUGUUCUUAGCUUGCUGAGGAUAAAUGUAUCUGCUUUUAUCAUACAUUACAAACCUCACUGCACAUGAAAGAUACUUCACAUUGAAAUGUGCUUUGGCAUUUCACGAGAAUUGGGAAGGUGUUAUGUAAAUCCAAGUCUAAUCCAUUGUGUGAAUGAGCCCAUCUUUCAGUACUUAUGUUAUGAUUCAGAAUGAAAUAUGAUGCGCAGGGUAAGUAAUGUUUUUGUGUGGCAAGGAGCCAUUGAACACAGAAGAAGACCCUUUGGCCAACUAUGUUUAUGCAGACCACCAGGUACUCGUUUCUUCUAAUCCUAUUUGUUAGCUCUUGGUCUGAAGGGGGUUGAGUUGAGUUGGAAAAGGAGGUUGAACCUGAAAACCUUAAUAGUGAUUAACAUUUUAUGUCAACUUGCUGUUGGAAACUAAGGAUAACAAUAUUCAUAUAAAAUAGAACUGAAGCAGUACUUACUCUAUUAUGGCCACUUUUUGAGCUAAUGGUCAAUUUUUUAAUUUUCUGGAGCAAACAGGUAGAAUGUGGAGGGUCUGUAAGGGAUUGAAUGUCAUUUUCAAUCAGGAGAUAAGAGGUUUUCAGCCUUUGACACAAAUGAGAGUCAGCCUUUAAUCGAGGACAAGGAUAGCUGCAAACUGCAGAGAUCCAUCUCUGGGAAAAGGCAGCUGCUUUUGGUGUCUGGAUUCCCAACAAACGUUUUAAAAUUGAUUUUGGCAUUGGUUUACUAUUGUCACAUAUACCAAGAUACAGUGAAAAGUUUGCCUUGCAUAUUGUUUGCACGGGUCAAAUUAUUACGCAGUAUUUUAAGCUAGAAUAAGGUAAGACAAUAGUAAUGCAAAAU